rnacentral:rRNA from 1 species
UACGUAGGGAGCAAGCGUUGUCCGGAAUUACUGGGCGUAAAGGGCGCGUAGGUGGGCGCUUAAGUCAGGUGUGAAAACUCCGGGCUCAACCUGGAGACUGCACUUAAAACUGGGUGUCUUGAGUGCAGAAGAGGAGAGUGGAACUCCAUGUGUAGCGGUGAAAUGCGUAGAUAUAUGGAAGAACACCAGUGGCGAAAGCGGCUCUCUGGUCUGUAACUGACGCUGAGGUUCGAAAGCGUGGGUAGCAAACAGG